AUAAAAAGCUUACGAAAUAUGUGUGCUGUGCUCUUCCCAGCUUCAACUUGAAAGGGAGGCCAAGCUACAGCAAUGUAGCAAACCAGAAGGCCCGUUCCCAUCAAGCCUGCCGAAUAUCUCGACUGAUCUCCCUCGGAGCUGGAAACAAUUUUGGAGGUCUUGGGGCCGCAGGUUGGGGAACCCUGGCCUACAGGGAGGAGGUCAGAGACCUAGCAGUGUAGUGCCAGGACAACAACCUCUCCCUCAACGUUGGAAAGACAAAAGAGCUGAUCGUGGACUACAAGGAACACAGGUCGAGAGCAUCAACUUCCUUGGUGUUCACAUCACUAAGGACAAGGUGACUCCCUGCCACCCAGGACCUCUAUACCAGGCGGUGUCAGAGGAAAGCCCUAAAAAGAUUGUCCAAAGCUCCAGCCACCAAGUCAUACAAUGUUCUCUCUGCUACCACAUGGUAAGCGGUACCAACAUACCAAGUCUGGAACCAACAGGGCCCUUAACAGCUUCUAUCCCCCAAGACAUCAGACGGCUAAAUAGUUAGUUAACCAAUAGCUACCCGGACUACUUAACUAUCUACAAUGACUCUUUUUGCACUAACUCUUUAGACUCAUCACAUACGUUGCUGUUUACUAUCUAUUAUGUAUCCUGUUGCCUAGUCACUUUAUCUCUAUCUAUAUGUACAUAUCUACCUCAAUUACCUCGUACCCCUGCACAUCGACUCGGUACUGGUACCCGGUGUAUAAAGCCAAGUUAUCGUCACGCAUUGUGCAUUUUUUACUUGUGUUAUUAUUUUACUUUUUUUCUCUCUGCAUUGUUGGAAAGGGCCCGUAGGUAAGCA